GCUGUCCUUAAGGUGUUGUGGGUGUGGCUGCUGUGCCCCACCUGUGUCAGCAGGUGGCAGAGAGGGGCCACAUCUGCACUUAGUGCUUUGGCCCCUGAGCACCCGAAUGACUGGUAGGCAGACAGC